AACGAACGCUGGCGGCAUGCCUAACACAUGCAAGUCGAACGAGACCUUCGGGUCUAGUGGCGCACGGGUGCGUAACGCGUGGGAACCUGCCCUUAGGUUCGGAAUAACUCCCCGAAAGGGGUGCUAAUACCGGAUAAUGUCUUCGGCCCAAAGAUUUAUCGCCUUUGGAUGGGCCCGCGUUGGAUUAGCUAGUUGGUAGGGUAAAAGCCUACCAAGGCGACGAUCCAUAGCUGGUCUGAGAGGAUGAUCAGCCACACUGGGACUGAGACACGGCCCAGACUCCUACGGGAGGCAGCAGUGGGGAAUAUUGGACAAUGGGCGAAAGCCUGAUUCAGCAAUGCCGCGUGAGUGAUGAAGGCCUUAGGGUUGUAAAGCUCUUUUACCCGGGAUGAUAAUGACAGUACCGGGAGAAUAAGCUCCGGCUAACUCCGUG
rnacentral:rRNA from 1 species